AAUCAACGCUGGCGGCGUGCCUCAGACAUGCAAGUCGAACGCGAAAGCUCCCUUCGGGGAGCAAGUAGAGUGGCGCACGGGUGAGUAACACGUAGGUAAUCUACCUUCGGAUGGGGAAUAACAACCGGAAACGGUUGCUAAUACCGCAUAAUGCAGCGGCACCUAAUGGUGACAGUUGUUAAAGCGGGGGAUCGAAAGACCUCGCGUCUGAAGAGGAGCCUGCGGCAGAUUAGCUAGUUGGUAAGGUAACGGCUUACCAAGGCGAUGAUCUGUAGCCGGCCUGAGAGGGCGGUCGGCCACACUGACACUGACAUACGGGUCAGACUCCUACGGGAGGCAGCAGUCGGGAAUUUUGGGCAAUGGGCGAAAGCCUGACCCAGCAACGCCGCGUGAAGGAUGAAAUCCCUCGGGAUGUAAACUUCGCAAGAACGGGAAGAAUAAGCCGGUGUAAAUACCACCGGUGAUGACGGUACUGUUUGUAAGCUCCGGCUAACUCCGUGCCAGCAGCCG
rnacentral:rRNA from 1 species